UCUGGUUAGGGGAUGCUGAGAGAAGCAGGUGAGUGAUGUCUGGUUAGGGGAUGCUGAGAGAAGCAGGUGAGUGAGGACUGGUUAGGGGAUGCUGAGAGAAGCAGGUGAGUGAGGACUGGUUAGGGGAUGCUGAGAGAAGCAGGUGAGUGAGGACUGGUUAGGUGAUGCUGAGAGAAGCAGGUGAGUGAGGACUGGUUAGGGGAUGCUGAGAGAAGCAGGUGAGUGAGGACUGGUUAGGGGAUGCUGAGAGAAGCAGGUGAGUGAUGUCUGGUUAGGGGAUGCUGAGAGAAGCAGGUGAGUGAUGUCUGGUUAGGGGAUGCUGAGAGAAGCAGGUGA